UGAGAAGCAAGAGUAUUGAGGUGGAAAUGUUGGGGCUCAGGAACAAGUGGCCAAGGAAGAAUUCUUGAGACAACUUUGGUGCAUAAAAAGUUACUUCCUUUCUCUUUUUUGAUGGAAGUCAAAAAAAAAAAGGACUUAUCAAAUAUAAUUGAGUUAAUCGCAAAUACUCUGCACCCAGGAAGAGACAAGUGGCAAGCACCUAGGGAAUCAGAAAAGACUGUUUAUUUCGCAGGGGUGCUGGCCCAGAGGAGUCACCUCCAAAGACUGAGCAUCCGGUUCGGGUUUUACGGAUCUUUUAUACAUAUGUGCUUCUGAGUUGGGCGGGACUGGUAUAAUCAAGCUUCUGGUUCCUGGCUGCUGGCUGAUGGAAGAGGCAAGCAAGAUUGCAGAAGCCAAAAGCAUGCAAGGGGAGUAUCUGGGCUCGGACAUCUGGUUGGCCUUUUUUAUUUGCGUUUACCAGCUUUUCUUCUCAGUUAUGCUUCACCAAUUUUCUUUGAGUUACAAGCAUGAAAGAAAAAAAAAAGAACGUAUAGAAAAAUCUGCAUAGAAAAUGGGUGACUUGGACUUAAAUGUGUAACUUGAAGUGAAGAAAUUCAGUUAAUUCCUGUUGAUUUGUUGGUGUCCCUUCCAUACUGACUGAAAGUAUUAGAGCCCAGAGUAAGUUUCUCUUGAGAUAAAAAAAAAAAAAAAAAAAAAUGCUUCUUGCUGACUUAUAAAUUGGUGGUAAAAUGUUUCUAAUU